rnacentral:rRNA from 1 species
UUAAAAAGCUCGUAGUCGGAUUUUGGCUGAGAACGGUCGGUCCGCCGUUAGGUGUGCACUGACUGGUCUCAGCUUCCUGGUGAGGAGGUGUGCUUCAUCGCCACUUAGUCACCGUGGUUACUUUGAAAAAAUUAGAGUGUUCAAAGCGGGCUUACGCUUGAAUAUAUUAGCAUGGAAUAACACCAUAGGACUCCUGUCCUAUUUCGUUGGUCUCGGGACGGGAGUAAUGAUUAAGAGGAACAGUUGGGGGCAUUCGUAUUUCAUUGUCAGAGGUGAAAUUCUUGGAUUUAUGAAAGACGAACUUCUGCGAUUUAGCAUUUGCCAAGGAUGUUUUCAUUGAUCAAGAACGAAAGUUGGGGGCUCGAAGAUGAUUAGAUACCAUCCUAGUCUCAACCAUAAACGAUGCCGACUAGGGAUUGGCGGAUGUUAAUUGAUGACUUCGCCAGCACCUUAUGAGAAAUCAAAGUUUUUGGGUCCCGGGGGGAGUAUGGUCCCAAGGCUGAGACUUAAA